CUUUUAAAGGAUAGCAGUAAUCCUAUGGUCUUAGGAACCAUCUACCUUGGUGCAAAUCCAAGUAAAAGUA
rnacentral:tRNA from 1 species